rnacentral:rRNA from 1 species
AGAGUUUGAUCAUGGCUCAGGACGAACGCUGGCGGCGUGCUUAACACAUGCAAGUCGAACGAUGAAGCACCAGCUUGCUGGUGUGGAUUAGUGGCGAACGGGUGAGUAACACGUGAGUAACCUGCCCCUCACUCUGGGAUAAGCCUGGGAAACUGGGUCUAAUACUGGAUACGACCGAUCUCCGCAUGGAGUGUUGGUGGAAAGUUUUUGUGGUGGGGGAUGGACUCGCGGCCUAUCAGCUUGUUGGUGGGGUAAUGGCCUACCAAGGCGACGACGGGUAGCCGGCCUGAGAGGGCGACCGGCCACACUGGGACUGAGACACGGCCCAGACUCCUACGGGAGGCAGCAGUGGGGAAUAUUGCACAAUGGGCGAAAGCCUGAUGCAGCGACGCCGCGUGAGGGAUGACGGCCUUCGGGUUGUAAACCUCUUUCACCAGGGACGAAGCUAACGUGACGGUACCUGGAGAAGAAGCACCGGCUAACUACGUGCCAGCCGCCGCGGUAAUAC